rnacentral:lncRNA from 1 species
UAUUAAUUUAAAGUUUUGAGCGAUGCAGAGGAGGUUGGACAGCAGACCGCAAAGCAUCAUGGGUAUUGAGCGCCUAAUUCCACGCGUGGCUUUCAUUGACUGUUGACUGUCGAGGAGUGAACAUCUCUCUGACUACAAAACCAAUAUGGAAGCUUUCGAACGACAGGAAUGUCAGGCUGCGAUAUUUUGUGAAAACAGCAUGUUAUUGCUGUAUUGUUGCGAUCAUCAUUAUGACUUGUGUUUUACUAUAUCAAGUUUACCUUUUUUUAAAUUGCAUGGGACGUGUUGUCAUUUUAGCUUUACAAAUAAUCCGUCUGAGAAAAGGAAUUGUGUUUAAUUUAUAUUCCCAAUAGCGAGGCUCUUCUUUCUAAGUUGGAUGGCGUUAAAUCUCUGUGUAUCAUCAACGUGAAAACAAGCGCAGUAUUUAAGGUUGGUAUACUACAAUGCAUUACAGUUAUCGUGUUAUUUUAUAGUUAAAUUUCCGCUUUGUUGUUUUUAUUCUUGUACUUUUAAUAUAAAUACACUGUACAAAAUUAUGGCGUCUUGUGUUUACAAUGCCUCUAGUUUGACCCUAUAGUGUGUGUAUAUGUACUGUGUCACUGUGAUACAUAUGUACAUGUUUUGAGUUAAACGAAUUGUUUAAUACAUUUUUGCUGAAGUAUGAUGCCUGUUUGUAUGGAUAGAUUUUUACAUAUAUGUGCAUACAGUAUAGUAUAUUUUUCAAUUUUCAUCUGUAAAAUAAUAUGUGUGUUGUUCUAAUAUUACUGUAAAUAGUGACACACUUUUGCAUUAGAUUGCUAAUUUUAGAGAUUACAGUGUAUGUAUAAAAUAAUAAAAUAAAAAUUUUCUUGUUAUGAUUUUGUAGAAAGAGAUCUACUUGAGUGGUUCAGUGGUUGGAUGGUCUUGAACCUGGUCAGCAUGGAUAUGGUAUUAAUGAAGGUGAUAGGGCAGAAAGUGGUGACCAGUUAAGUGAUCAGGAUGAAAGUGACGAGGACGAAAUCACCCAUGCUGUGCCAUUCAAGUGCAUUGGUGCUGUUCAUGAGAAACAUUACCAAGAUAAUUUGUAACAGGCAUGCCUUGCAAUUCAUGGACAAGAUAAACCAGCGAAUGUAAGAAUACGUCCAAAGCCAUUGAAUCCAAUGGACCCAAGUGCAAUAGCAAUUGAUGUAGACUAUGGAACUGGAUGGACACAUGUGAUGUUGGCUAUAUUAUUUGCACCCACUAAUUGCUGCAUGAGAUAUCUUAGAGGUCUAUGUUCAGCAUAUAAAGUAUAGGGUUGACUUUUUUAAAAUAGGAUUUUAUCCAAAAUUUUUCAUAAAGGGAUGUGGUGAGUGGGAGACUCAAGUGGUAAGGAGGGGCAUGAGUGUAUGUCGACAGAUGUUUGUGAUAUAAUAGUAACUGACUAGGUUUAGCAAGUUAUAGAAAUGAUGUUAUUUAAAUUGGCUAACUUUUUAGAUUUUUUCAGCAUUUUUACCUUUCACUUUAUUGCCAAACAAAAAUGAAAAAUCAUUUAAUUUAAGUAGGUGUGUAUCUAUAAGAAAACAAUAUCUGUCAUGUGCACUUGUGCAACUCCCUCAAAAUAGCAAUAUUGCUUUUUUAUUGUGUAGGACACCAAUAUGGUUCUCAUUACCUAUAUCUAAACUUAAAAAAACAUGUGCUAUAAAUAAAUGCAUCUACCUAUUUCGUGACUGAAUAGAAUUUAUUUUGUCAAGCCAUGUAAUUAAUUUUGAAAUUGCUGUGACUUUAUGUAACCCUUCUGCAGGAAUUGAGCCUAAACCCUAAAGCACCAACCCCUAAAGCACCAACCCCUAAAGCACCAACCCAUCCCCAACAAUAAAAUUACAUCUUACUGUCAAUUUGUCUUUGAAAUCUGACCACCAAUGUUUAUUUG